UACAAAUAUUUUUUUCCAAAAAAUUGAAUCAAAUGAGAUUUCGUGAAUUGCAAGUAUAUAUAAACUAAACAUACAAAACCCAGAUUAUCUAAUCAUGCAUAACCCCUUACCACCUUGGUUUAUUAAACAA